UGGUCUUAGAGAGUAGAUCUGGAC
rnacentral:piRNA from 1 species